rnacentral:rRNA from 1 species
GACGAACGCUGGCGGCGUGCUUAACACAUGCAAGUCGAGCGGUAAGGCCCUUCGGGUACGACGAGCGGCGAACGGGUGAGUAACACGUGGGUGACCUGCCUCUAGCUCUGGGAUAAGCCUGGGAAACUGGGUCUAAUACCGGAUAUGACUCCACGGCGCAUGUUGUGGGGUGGAAAGCCUUGUGUGGCUAGAGAUGGGCCCGCGGCCUAUCAGCUUGUUGGUGGGGUGAUGGCCACCAAGGCGACGACGGGUAGCCGGCC